AGUAGGGGGCGCUGAAGCUGCGCCCGCCGGCGAAAGACAUCCCAGACGUCACUUCCGUUUCCGGUCAAUGCAAUUCAGAGCUAAAAGAAGAUCCACGGAGAAGAGGAAAAGAAGAAAGGACGUCGGACCAACAUUCGAGCGGAGUGAAGAGUGUCGAGAAGAACGAGUGGACUCUGGACCAGGAGGAUAGAAGAGCAGUGUGAGAAGAUGGAUGGGGGAUGCUCACUGCUACAGGAAGGCGUACCCCUACCUGGUGGUGUUCAAAGUGUCCUGGAACAGUGUUAAGGCAUCCUGGCGACGCAUGGCCUCACCGCAUUCCAGCACUACUGGCCUGAAGCUGCUCUGGAGGACUCGUGGCGGCAUCGUGGAAGCUGGUCCGGCCUACUGGAAGAAGUGACCAAACUGCAGAGGAGACCUCACCAAGUCCACAUAACAAAAGACAUGAAUCCAUUCUGUGGAUCUUGAUUGUUUUUAUUAUGUCAGCCUGAAAUAAUCACAAGUUCUAAUGGCUUUAUGUCUCUCAUGUUAAGGUGUGAAGAAGUGAGGACUUGACGCUCAGCAGGACCUACGUGGGCUUGCUCCAUUGCACCUCAUGAGUCGUCUUCUCUGCGCUGAAGCAAGAUAAAAGAAGUGCUUCCUGAUGAGGUCUACCUGGAACUAGUCUGUGGAAACCUAACGGUGACAACACAAGCAGACUAGCAGCAUGAAGGUCAGUUGCACUUAGGUUUCCCUAGCUUCCCUUCUAGCUGCCUAAAAGUUAAAUGUUAAACGUAAAAGUAAUGAAAGAAAAUAUUCAACAUAAAAGUAAGUAAAAGUAACAAAAAAGUAAAGUAGUAAA